GACGAACGCUGGCGGCGUGCUUAACACAUGCAAGUCGAACGGAAAGGCCCUGCUUUUGUGGGGUGCUCGAGUGGCGAACGGGUGAGUAACACGUGAGUAACCUGCCCUGGACUUGGGGAUAACUUCAGGAAACUGGGGCUAAUACCGGAUAGGAGCUCCUGCUGCAUGGUGGGGGUUGGAAAGUUUCGGCGGUUGGGGAUGGACUCGCGGCUUAUCAGCUUGUUGGUGGGGUAGUGGCUUACCAAGGCUUUGACGGGUAGCCGGCCUGAGAGGGUGACCGGCCACAUUGGGACUGAGAUACGGCCCAGACUCCUACGGGAGGCAGCAGUGGGGAAUAUUGCACAAUGGGCGGAAGCCUGAUGCAGCAACGCCGCGUGCGGGAUGACGGCCUUCGGGUUGUAAACCGCUUUCGCCUGUGACGAAGCGUGAGUGACGGUAAUGGGUAAAGAAGCACCGGCUAACUACGUG
rnacentral:rRNA from 1 species